UUUUAAAUGGCAGGACUAUACCAUGGAGCCUGAUGAGAAACUUAUACUAAAUGCAGCACAUUUGAUGGUAGCAUUAAGAGGCCCUUGCAUCACAUUUAGGAACCUUUACUUGGUUUAGUAUCAAGCGAGCUCAGAAGGUCACUUCAGGGCUUGGCCGUAGCAAGUGAUUUUCUAGAGCAGUCAUUUCAGCUGGUAACUAAUGAUAAUAUCCUUUGCAUCAAUGGCUUGAUUUCCAUAAUAACCAUUAAGAUAAAAGAGGAAACACAAACAGAGUUGACACUGAUGAAUGGAAUCCAUCCACUGAUACACAUUUCCUCGAUUGAUAACCGCUCUGGAAAUGUUGUGAUACACCCAAAAUUUUAAAUAUUAAUCCAGCAGUUGUGUUAGUCUACGACAGUUUGAUCAACUAUCGCGGGACCAAAUUUUCUAUAGAUUGCAAACUUGAGUUUGCUCGCACUGCUUGCUCAUCUAAAUUCUGCUGCUGUGCUGCGCUAUAAGCAGAACUUGGUCCUUUUUUGAGAUUGCUACUUCAGUGUUGAUCAAGUUUCAGAGAUGUCCACUGUUCUUCAGCAGUGAGAUGUUAUAACUCGUAGGAUUUUUCCGCUAGUACACUUUGAGCUCACACAUAUUUAGGGACUAACCCCGGAGUUGUCUAGGUUCUCGCUUCCAGUAUAGGGGUGUGAUCCUGGUGCCCCCCCUUACUUGCUUUCUACGCAAACCAGUGAGUAUUAUAUCUCCCUUUACAUUUUCUUGUCAUGAGGUUAAUGUUUAGAAUAGUUUUGAGGUGUGGGUGUUUUGCGCGCAUUUUUCUUUUUGUGCUUGUAAUUUAUCCUUAUUGUGCGUGCAUGCAUGGUUUUCUCUCUAUUGAUUAUCACCUGACACUUUUUAUGGGUAAUUAGUAUAGAGUUAGUUUCUCUCAAGGGUUGCUUACUAACUUCUGGAGAACUAAGAUUCCCUAAUUUAAAACACCUAAUUUUUUUAAUAUUUUAACGAUAUGUGAAAAAGAAUUUGUGCUGCUGUUGUACAAGACCAAGUGAAUUUCUUAAAUUAUUUUAAUGAUAUGUGUAAAUGAAAUUGUGUUGCUACUUAUUACAGCAUUAAUACUAGCAGAUAGCUGAUAAAAUUUUUAGUAAAUUCUUGUGUUAAUUUAGUCCAUUGUGUAUGGGUUUGGAAUUAAUAUUGUUUCUACUUUGUCCUUGGUGCAUUUUAACCUUGUUUACAUGCAGUCCAAACCAUUUAUGGGAAAAUUGUUCAACUACUUUCUGUUAGCAGAAAGCACAGAGACAGUGUUGUGCCACUUUUUAUUAUGCUAGCCUUUAUGGUCCUCAAACUCCUGUAAACAACAUCAUUCCUUCAUUCCCUCCCGCUUUGGCUAGCUACUGAUGGAACCUUCUAGUUAUGCAAAGAACCUGGAAAUGCUGCACAUCCUACUAAUGCAAUUCUGUCUUUCGAGCAUCCUGGGACAAACCUUGAUAUUAGAAUGAGUUAUUUUGAUGAUACAAUCUCAUUUCUAUAUGUUUAAACAUAUGUGUGCCUGCUUUAGAUUAUGAAGCACAAGUCCGAAUAGCAGCUGCCGAAAAGGAGUUAAGGAGGAGCUAACUUGUAAAGGAGGCAAGAUGAGAGAAGAAAUGCCUAACCCCCAUCACCUAUUUCCCACGCAAACAAGGGAUUAUUUUGUUUCCCCUCACAUCCUGUCCUUCACAUAAAGGGCAAUGUUAAGAUUAAGAUAUAGGGCGAGUUUGUUUGUGUGCAUGCUUGAUUAUGUGGUUGUAAAUAAUUUGAUUACUUUCACUCUGAUUCGUUGAUUCUGAAGGGUCCUUUCAGUAGUGUUUGUAACAAUGCGAAAAUACUAACGAAAUGUGUUUUUAAAUGGCAGGGCUAUGCCACGGAGCCUGAUGAGAAACUUAUACGAAACGCAACACAUUUGAUGGUAGCAAGGUUGACAGGAAGUGUUGCUAAUUAACUUGUAGGAACCUUUACGUGGUUCUAUAUCAAGCCAACUCAGAAUGUCACUUCAGGGGCUUGGCUAUGCUAGUCGUCUUCUAGAGCUGUCAUUUCAGCAGGAAUCACAAACGGAGUUGACACCGAUGAAUGGAAUCCAUCCAUUGAUACACAACUUCCUCGAUUGAUAACCGCUCUGGAAAUGUUGUGGUUGAGUGUAAGGCUGCGUAGCAAGGAGAACUCAGUCCCGUGUUGAGAGUGCUACUUCAGUGUUGAUAAGUUAUAGAGAUGUCCUCUGAUCUUCAAAAGUGAGGUGUUAUAGCUGUAACCACUACUCGUAGGAUUUUUAUGCUAGUACACUUUGAGCACAAACUUUUGCAGGAACUAACCCAGAGUUGUCCUAGUUCUCACUUCCGGUAUAGGGGUGUGAUCCGGCAUCACCCCUUACUUGCUUUCUACUCAAACAAUUUGCUCAUUUUCUAGGCAAGAAUCGAUCCAUCCAGAGCUCAAAUGCAUUUCCAGAUUGCCCCUCCGCUUCAUUAGUAGGUGGACUUUCCUGGAAAUUUGCAUCUCUACUUCUGACUGAAUGAGUGUUAGCACUGGAAUUGGUGCUAUUCCCCACACACUUGAAAUUUGCUCUGACGAGAUGGAUCCUGUUGAAUCCCAGAUUCCUACAAGUUCCUUCAUCUCGCAUUGUAAUUAGCGAUGGUCCACAAACUCUUGAAGAUGACAUAAUUCCUUCAUUCCUUCUUGAUUGGGCCAGCUACUAAUGGAACCUUCCAGUUACACAAAAGAACCUGGAAAUGCUACACAUCCACUAAUGCAAUUGUCUUGCGAGCAUCCCGAGACAAAUGUCUCUGAGCCAUUUAUAACCUUUGGUGAUGCAUUGCGUAUGUACCAUACUAUCUCAUAGAAGGAUAAUAUUUCUGAUGAUGACUAUAUAAUUUCAUAAGCUGGGAUCGGUCUAGAAGUGGGAAUGAUGUCAAUCCUACAUGAUAAUGAAGCACAAGCAUGAAUAGCUCUGCCGAAAAAGGUCACUAAUUCUGUUGGAUUCCUUGUCUGGAACUUGCUGUCCAACUUAUUAGGAGUUAAGGAGGAGCUAACUUGUAAAGGAGGCAAGAUGAGAGAAGAAAUGCCUAACCCCCAUCACCUAACUUCCCAUGCAAACAAGGGAGUAUUUUGUUUCCCCUCACAUUUUUUUUUCCUUCACUUAAAAGGGCAAUGUUAAGUUAAGAUUUGGGGUGAGGGUGUUUGUGUGCAUGCUUGAUUAUGUGGUUGUAAAUAAUUUGAUUACUCUAUCUCCGAUGUGUUGAUUCUGAAGGACCCUUUUUUCAAUAGUGUAUAUAACAAUGCGAAUACUAAAGAAGUUAUGUGUUUUUAAAUGGCAGGACAUGCCAUGGAGCCGGAUGAGAAACUUAUGCGAAAUGCAGCAGAUUUGAUGGUAGCAAGGUUGGUAGGAAGUCUUGCUAAUGUAACUUAUUAGGAACCUUUACGUGGUCCAGUAUCAAACCAACUCAGAAGGUCACUUCAGGUCUUGGCCAUAGCAAAUGAUCUUCUAGAGCAGUCAUUUUAGCUGGUGACUAAUGGAAUCACAGGCGGCGAUGACACCAAUGAAUGGAAUCCAUCCAUUGACACACAUCUUCCUCGAUUGAUAGCCGCUCUGGAAAUGUUGUGAUACACACAAAGUUUUAAAUAUUAUUCCAUCAUUUGUAUUUGUCUAUGACAGUUAGAUCAGCUAUCGAGGGACCAAAUUUGCUUUUGAUUGCAAACUUGAGUUUGCUCAUACUGCUCAUCUAACUUUUGCUGUUGUUCAUUGCAGGUUGAGUGCAAGGCUGAGCUGCAAGCAGAACUCGGUCCUUUGUUGAGAGCACUAUUUCAGUAUUGAAUGAGAUUUACUUAUUAAAGCAAUAAUACCCGCAAAUAGCUGAGAAAAAUUUCGUCCAAACCAUUUAAUGGGGAAAUAGAUCGAUUACUUUCAAACGGGAGCCCUUUAUCCAGAGCCAGGGCAUGUGUCACAUUCACAACGAGUUUAUGAGAAUCGAUCAACCCAGAGCUCAAAUGCAUUUCCAGUUUGCCCAUCGGCUUCAUCAGGAGGUGGAUUAUCCAGGCAAUUUGCAUCUCUACUUCUGACCAAAUGAGUGCUAGCAUUUACUCAUCUGGCCUUGUUAGCACUGGAAUUGGUGCUAUACCCCAUACACCGGAAAUCGACUCUGACGAGAUAGAACCAGUUGGAUCCCAGAAUCCUACAAGGUUUGUUUAGUUUAUGGCAUCUUUUGAUUUUUAUAUUAUUGAUUAAAUGUUAAUUAUUAAUUGUUGUUUUUCUAUGAGUAAACCUCCGACCAACAAAAACUAAAAGGAAUCAAAUUAGCAAAAUUCUGGUGAUCAUUUUUCAGUUCGCUCAUCUCGUAUUUCAAUUGGCAAUGGUCCACAAACUCUUGUAAACGACAUCAUUCCUUCAUUCCCUCCUGCUUUAGCUAGCUACUGAUGGAACCUUCCAGUUAUGCAAAAGAACCUGGAAAUGCUGCACAUCCUACUAAUGCAAUUCUGUCUUCCGAGCAUCUUGGGACAAACCUUGAUAUUAGAAUGAGUUAUUUUGAUGAUACAAUCUCAUUUUUAUAUGUUUAGACGUAUGUGUGCCGGCUUUAGAUUAUGAAGCACAAGUCCGAAUAGCAGCUGCCGAAAAGGUUACAAACUCAGCUGGAUUCUUAAUCUGGAAUUUGUUGUCCAACAUAUUAGGUUGUAUUUAAGUUGAUACUUUUGAAUAUGCAAUUUAUGUAUUUGUUACAUAUGUUGCGCUUCAUUUCUUUAUUUUUAUUCACCAGCUGAUUUAUAUAAUUGAAUUUGUUUGUUUCUGUUUGUUUUGUAGUAGUUAAGGAGGAGCUACUAACUUCUAAAGGAAGUGAGAUGAGAGAAGAAAUACCUAACGCCCAUCACCUAACUUCCCAUGCAAGCAAGGGAGUAUUUUGUUUCCCCUCACAUUUUUUCCCUUCACAUAAAGGGUCAUGUUAAGAUUAAGAUUUGGGGUGAGGGUGUUUGUGUGCAUGCUUGAUUAUGUGUUUGUAAAUAAUUUGAUUACUCUAUCUCUGAUGUGUUGAUUCUGAAGGACCCUUUUUUCCAUAGUGUAUAUAACUAUGCGAAUGCUAAAGAAGUUAUGUGGUUUUAAUUGACAGGUCUAUGCCACAGAGCCUGAUGAGAAACUUAUACGAAAUGCAGCACAUUUGACAGGAAGUCUUGCUAAUGUAACCUGUAGGAGUUAUGGAGGAGCUAACUUUUUAGGAAACAAGAUAAGAAAAGUAGCUAACCCCCACCACCUAAUUUUCUAUGCAGACAAAGGAGUGUUCUAUCUUGCCUCACAUUUUAUCGUCCAUCACAUAAAGGGAAAUGUUUAGAUUCA